UCUUAUGUACAUGCCUACAACACAGCGUUAAUGCACCAGAUCCCAUUAGAAAUAUGCAGUUAAGCGUGCUUAGGAUAGAGUAGCAUUGGUAUGAGUGACCGCCUAGGAAGUACAUGCCUAUAGAAAUU
rnacentral:rRNA from 1 species